GUCGUCGUGAUAACGAGCCCCGAUAUUUCGAUCGAAUAACAGCAAAGGAGAAAGAGAUAUAAAUAAUCGAAUAGAAAUUCAUACUCUAAAUGACCUCGAAGGCCAAGCCGUAAACAUGCGUUUACAAAUUGAAUUUCCAAUAUCAAAGGUGCUGCCACGAAGAAUUCCGGAGAUAACUGUGUCUGUCCUUGUCAUUUAAUAAAAACGCGCUAAAAGAUUAACCCCGUAACGAACAUGUCGAGAAUUAGUACGAGUUAUGAAAACCUAUCUGAUAUUCUGUUAAUAUUUUAUUUAAUUCGAAGGUAUUCAUAAAUCUGUCUUCUUUUACAAUUACAAUCGGUUCUAUAAGUUUCUCAUAUACAUUGGUAAUAUGUUUAUGGAUAUGAAAUCCUCAAAGUGGUUAAACUUCUUUAAUUUAGAUAUAAAUACAACUAUGACUGUUUCCCAUUCAUUUGGAAAGAAAGAGAAAAUAGAUAGAGAAAGAGAGAGAGAGA